rnacentral:rRNA from 1 species
UACGAAGGUGGCUAGCUUUGCUCGGAAUGACUGGGCGUAAAGGGCGCGUAGGCGGUUCACACAGUCAGGCGUGAAAUUCCUGGGCUUAACCUGGGGGCUGCGUUUGAAACGUGUGGACUUGAGGAUGGAAGAGGCUCGUGGAAUUCCCAGUGUAGAGGUGAAAUUCGUAGAUAUUGGGAAGAACACCGGUGGCGAAGGCGGCGAGCUGGUCCAUUACUGAAGCUGAGGCGCGAAAGCGUGGGGAGCAAACAGGAGGAGAUAACCCCGUAGUCC